AACAAUCAGCAACACUAAGCUAGAGAAAAUAAAGUGAAGAUAGGAAUGCAAUAGCACACAUACAGCAGACAAGCCAGGUUUAUUCCUCUAAACCUAGUCCCUGGAGGAAAUUAAUUGAAAAUCUCCAGUAACAGAUACCAUAAAGAAGUUGAUUAUAGUAAAAGUGUUUACAAAAAAAUGAAAUUGCAAAAGGAUCAGACGAUUUAAGACUACUAAUACCAUAAACGAACUGAUACAAAGCAAAAUCUUUAGUAAAAGAUACUAACAUCAGCAAUAAAAACAGGUCAACUAUCAAAUCAAUACAGCAGAAGUUCAAACCAGAAUACACCUCUAGAGAGUGCUGGUAUUCCAUUUCUCCAGUGUUAUAGCUUUGUAUUCCUCUCCCAAGGCAUCCUCAUCCAUUUCCAUCAAAGGAAACUGCAUGAACCAGCACGUCAUAUGAUAACAUUCAUGAAGCAGAACAGACUUCUGUGGACUGACCUUGGAAGAAAUGAUAGCCAAUCAUCUAUUAAUUUGGUUUGAUGGACUCCCUGGAACACUCA
rnacentral:lncRNA from 1 species